AUACCAAUGACUACAUAAUGGAUGAAUGAACUUCAAUGAAACGAACUGACGAAGGAAUCGAGCAACACGGGGAGCAAUCGAAACUCAACGACUAUGUAGAAUAUAUUUCGUUUUUCUUCUUCUUCUUCUUCCCUCAAAAUAAGAAGGUUUUGAACCUGCCAUUGAAGGUUUUGAUGAUAUAAAAAUAGACAGGAGUUUGCUCAGAAAGAUUCUUAUCAGCAAGAAUCAAAAUCCCGAAAGGUCCAAGAGCACCCCUUUGAGUAGCUCCCUUGCUGUCUGGGCAGCUAUACUCUUCUCCCGAAAAGGGUAAACUUUCCAAUGCCUCUUUUUCAAUCUCAAAUUCUGCUGUUAUAUCUAUCUGCAUGUGGAAUUACCAAAGCAAGAGAUUAAUUACUAGUUAAUAGCAAGUCUAUGAUUUUCUCUAAGGUUCUGUUUGGUUUGGUGUAGAACGUUUUCAAUGCAAAAUGAUUUUCCACGGAAAACAUUUUCCAAGGGAGAAACUAGGAAAUUCUUUUCAAAAUGAUUGAAAAGAGGAAAUUGUUUUUAAUGAAAACGUUUUACACCCUACCAAACGGAGACUAAUUGGUUCCUCAAUUAAGUGAGUUAUCACAAAAAGGUUAAUUAGAGAACGAGUUGCGACCUCUGUGGCUGCGCGAACAUCCAAUGGCACAACAGAUCCUGCAGGAACUACAACCUUGUCAAACUCCUUGCUGUUGUGUCUUAGGUUUUCUACUUCCUCCACGGGCCAUUGAACUAAGUUGGUUUUAGUUUUUUGGUCAUACAACACGGUUCUUGGAACUCCCUGUUUAUCAUUCAUCAUGCAACGUGUAAAUAAACUUGUCUUAUACUUCGUAUAUAACUCAUUUUUGUAAAAAGAACCAUAGAAAAAUUACAGAAAGAAUGAUUUAUGUUUAAGUACCUGAAGAGAUGCCCAUCCUUUCCUAACAUCAGCUGCUUCACUGUCACCUUCAGUGACCCAACCCCACAAGAUCCUUCUCUUCUUUUCUUGAUCAUAAAAUGUUUUGGAAGCAUAAAACUUGCCAUAAUCAUACCUUAAUCCAAUACCAACAUCAAUGGCAGCAUUAUCAGGGAUCCAUGUACCAUUAGCCUCAUUGUAGGUUCCAAUUGCGUAGUAAUCAUUCCUAUUAUCAUCCAUGCUUGCUUUGAGUACAUGCUUCACUAAUGGACCGUUAAUGGACGUAUCAAGCCCGUUUGACUCAGACACCGAGACUGGAAAAAAGUCAACACACUCCCACAUACCAGUGGUUGGUACAGCAUGUAGGAUGUUGUCCAAAAGCUCAAAGUUCUUGAAAUCAGUGGUUUCAUACACAAGAGAAAUCCCUGUUUUGUUGAUUUUAGACCCAAUUGUAAUCCUCCAUUUACCUUCAGAGGUCAACCACGCAGUUGUAGGGUCACGGAAAUCUAAUUUGUGAAUUCCUGGAGGUGGCACGAGGACUGGGUUAUCGGGGUACUUGACCCAUUCCCUGAGAAGUGGGUCAGAUAAGUUAGCCGGAUAAGCUAGAUUUUGGACUUGGACUGACUCGUUGGUUGAACCAGUGUAGAGCAUUACGAUUUGACCAUCAGGUAAGAUAGUGGCUGAGCCAGUCCACACGCCGUUGAAGUCAUACCAUCGAUCUGCAACCAUGGCUAUGGGAAGGUCCAUCCAUUUUAUGAGGUCCUUGGAAACAGCAUGUGCCCAUACAAUGUUGCCCCAGACUGCACCUGCAGGGUUGUACUGGUAGAAGAAGUGGUACCAACCAUUGUAGUAUAAUGGACCUGUUUUAUAGUGACAAAGCAUCAUCAGAUUUGGGAUUCAUUUUCCUCUUUAAAUUUGUAAUUAUGUUCAUGAAUGAAAGUAAUGAAACUCAUGCAACUACUUCUUACUCAUUAUCUGUAAUGAAAGUCAUACAAAAGCCAUACCUUUUGUAUGUUGAAUAAUUUUUUUGGUAGAUGAAGUAUGACACUACUGUCAUAUUCUGCUCAA